GCCCGGUAGCGGUCCGCUGAGCCGGAUCCGGGGAGUUCGUACUGGAGCGCCAUAUAGUCAGGGCUUCCGGUUAGGAAGCAGAGCAUCACACACAAGCGGACUCGGUCCGGUACGGCCCACGCGUCGCCAUCCCGCCGGGCAGCACGUUCGCAGCCCGGGGAUCGCGAGUCCCGCGACCUCCGAGCGAUCCUGUCCACCUGCGGGCCGGCCCCGCUGCUGAGAACAUGCUGCUACUACUGCUAAGUCGAUUCAGUCAUGUCCGAUUCUGUGCGACACCAUAGACGGCAGCGCACCAGGCUCUGCCGUCCCUGGGAUUCUCCAGGUCUUGGUUGCAGCAUGCAGGAUCUUUGAACACCAUUGUGGCUUGCAAGAUCUUUAAUUGCAGCGUGAGAACACUUACAGGCAGCAUGUGGGAUCUAGUUCCCUGACCAAGGCCACCUGCAUUGGAAGCAUGGAGUUCUAGUCAUAGGAUCACCAGGGAAG
ensembl:lncRNA